AUGGGUCACAUGGCAUGGGCCUCACCGGGCCAUUUGUUGCAGGCCAGAAUUUUAGGCUACAUGAUAGUCUUUCUAGGCCGAAUGGUGGUGUAAGCCAUUUCUUUAGGCCGCAUAAUGCUAGCCAACGCCUUGGGUCGGGUGCUAAUUUUUUUUAGUUUGGGGGCCCACCUGGUCAUAGACACGGUGUUGAGCGCCUAGGUGUCAACGAUGUGGGUAUUCAUGGGCUGAAUGGUGGGCCAAGCGAGCAAAAUGGUGGGCCGAAUGGUGGAUUGAGUGUUCCGUGGUUAACAAAGCCUAAAGAACAUGUUCUUCUUGGGCCACCUUUUGGAGUUAGGGCUUUAGAUUCGAAUUCUGUUUUUGAUUCCUCACUGUGUGUUGGGUUGCCACGGGUUCCUGAUGUACCAGCGUCAAAUUUCUCAAACACCACUAGGUCUAUUGUGAAUACAGCCCAAUAUGGGUCCAAUUUUGAUAAUAUUGAUUCUUAUAUUCCUAUACUUGUAGGGACUUCAUCAUGGUAUCCUAAUUCGGGAGUUACACAUCAUGUCUAGAAAAAGGCCUCUACUUUGAAUGAGUCUACGCCAUACUCAGGACAUCUAGACUCGUGAAAUUUUGUUGCAAGGUCACACUCGUGAUGGGCUCUACAUUUAUCACUGAUUACUCCUAUUCAAAGUGGUGUUUUUCCUUUUGUUCAUAACAUUGGGUUUCAGACUAGCUCUGCCAGUUGUGACGUUUUUGCACUAUGGCACCGUCGACUUGGUCAUCCUUCCACCUGUGUUGUUAAAUUGGUUUAAGAUAAAUGUCAAAUUAUUUUGAAUAACACUUUUCUUGAUAAUAUUUGUAUUACCUAUCAAAAAGGAAAGUCUUAGAAAUUUCCUUUUUCGAACUUUACUACUGAAUAUAUUGAUCCUUUUGA